rnacentral:pre_miRNA from 1 species
CCCUGUCUCCCAACCCUUGUACCAGUGCUGUGCCUCAGACCCUGGUACAAGCCUGGGGGAUAGGG